UACGUAGGGUGCGAGCGUUAAUCGGAAUUACUGGGCGUAAAGCGUGCGCAGGCGGUUCGCCAAGUCAGGUGUGAAAUCCCCGGGCUCAACUGGGGAGGGUCACGCGAUACUGCUCGACUGGAAGGCAGGAGAGGGAAGUGGAAUUCCCGGUGUAGUGGUGAAAUGCGUAGAUAUCGGGAGGAACACCAGUGGCGAAGGCGGCUUCCUGGACCAAUACUGACGAUCAGGUGCGAAAGCGUGGGGAGCAAACAGG
rnacentral:rRNA from 1 species